GACGAACGCUGGCGGCGUGCCUAAUACAUGCAAGUCGAACGAAGCUGUUUUAACUGGUGCUUGCACCGACUUAAACAACUGAGUGGCGAACGGGUGAGUAACACGUGGGUAACCUGCCCCAAAGCGGGGGAUAACAUUUGGAAACAGAUGCUAAUACCGCAUAACCACAGAAACCACAUGGUUUCUGUGUCAAAGAUGGUUUCGGCUAUCACUUUGGGAUGGACCGGCGGCGUAUUAGCUAGUUGGUAAGGUAAUGGCUUACCAAGGCAAUGAUACGUAGCCGAACUGAGAGGUUGAUCGGCCACAUUGGGACUGAGACACGGCCCGAACUCCUACGGGAGGCAGCAGUAGGGAAUCUUCCACAAUGGACGAAAGUCUGAUGGAGCAACGCCGCGUGAGUGAAGAAGGUUUUCGGAUCGUAAAACUCUGUUGUCAGAGAAGAACGUGUGCGAGAGUAACUGCUCGUGCAGUGGCGGUAUCUGGCAAGAAAGCCACGGCUAACUACGUGCCAGCAGCCGCCGUAA
rnacentral:rRNA from 1 species